rfam:Klebsiella pneumoniae subsp. pneumoniae MGH 78578, complete sequence.
UUAUCGCCCGAUCAUCCCGCCGGCUCUGCCAGUGGUAAACGGUUCUGCUCUGCAUCAGCAGUCCGCAUCCCCGUCGGACACUGAUACGGUAAGCCUCCCGCAGAAAAUGCACCGCCUGACGCUUCUGAGCCGGCCUC